rnacentral:siRNA from 1 species
UCAGCUUCACGCGCAGCAAUCUC